rnacentral:rRNA from 1 species
CCUACGGGAGGCAGCAGUGGGGAAUCUUGCGCAAUGGGGGAAACCCUGACGCAGCAACGCCGCGUGGGUGAUGAAGGCCUUCGGGUCGUAAAGCCCUGUCAGGUGGGAAGAAACUUAUGGAUGUUAAUACCAUCCAUGCUUGACGGUACCACCGGAGGAAGCACCGGCUAACUCCGUGCCAGCAGCCGCGGUAAUACGGAGGGUGCAAGCGUUGUUCGGAAUUAUUGGGCGUAAAGCGCGUGUAGGCGGUCGGGUAAGUCAGAUGUAAAAGCCUCUCGCUUAACGGGAGAAGUGCAUUUGAGACUGCUCGGCUAGAGUACGGGAGAGGAGAGUGGAAUUCCCGGUGUAGAGGUAAAAUUCGUAGAUAUCGGGAGGAACACCAGUGGCGAAUGCGGCUCUCUGGUCCGAUACUGACGCUGAAACGCGAAAGCGUGGGGAGCAAACAGGAUUAGAUCCCCUGGUAGU